rnacentral:ncRNA from 1 species
GACGGGGGUUUCCCCCUAAAAUUUUCUAUACAAGAGGGAUUUACAUGUAUUUUUUUGAGGGAUCAGGGAUGAGUUUUUAAUAAAUGAAUGGAAUAAGGUUAAUUUGCAGUAGGUAGGUUUUCUAGUUUAAGAAAUUAAGAAAAAGUUAAUCUAGGAAUAUAAACAAAGUUUGUGCCAGCAGUUGCGGUUAGACAGACUAUGUAAUGGAGAAUUUUUUGGUUUGGAAUAAAAUGGCAGAAAGGAGGAUUUAGUUAAAGAUUUGUUGGGUGAAAUUUUAUAUUUUAAUGUGGUUUGUUUAAUGUUGUUUGAUUAUGAAAGAUUUCAAUAGAAACUAGGAUUAGAUACCCUAUUAUUGGAAAGGUAAAAUUGGAGAGCUAAAUUAGUAGAUGAAUUUUUGAAAGUUAGGAUAAUUGGCGGUUUUUUAGUCUAUUCAGAGGAACCUGUCCUGUAAUUGACAGUCCACGUUUACAAAGGACUUUGUUUUUAAAUUUACAUAUCGCCGCAGGCCGAGUAUCUUUUUAGAGGAGAAAUAUUCAAGAUUUAGAAUUAAAAUAAAUCAGGUCAAGAUGUAGUUUAUAAUAAAGUAGAGAUGGGUUACAAUAAAUUUAUUUAGGCGGACAUAGAAUUUAAAAUGAGUUUAAGGUGGAUUUGAAAGUAAUUUUAAACAUAUAUUUAAUAUGAUUAAAGCUCUAAAAUAUGCACAUAUCGCCCGUCGCUUUCGUUUAAGGUGAAAUAAGUCGUAACAGAGUAGGUGUACUGGAAAGUGUCCCUAGAAAGA